GACGAACGUUGGCGGCGUGCCUAACACAUGCAAGUCGAACGGGGUUGUUCCUUCGGGGACAACUUAGUGGCGAACGGGUGAGUAACGCGUGAGGAACCUGCCUCUCAGUGGGGGGACAACAGUUGGAAACGACUGCUAAUACCGCAUAACAUUUCUGGACCGCAUGAUCCGGAAAUCAAAGCUUUAUGUGCUGAGAGAUGGACUCGCGUCUGAUUAGCUAGAUGGCGGGGUAACGGCCCACCAUGGCGACGAUCAGUAGCCGGACUGAGAGGUUGAACGGCCACAUUGGGACUGAGAUACGGCCCAGACUCCUACGGGAGGCAGCAGUGGGGAAUAUUGGGCAAUGGGCGAAAGCCUGACCCAGCAACGCCGCGUGAAGGAAGAAGGCCUUCGGGUUGUAAACUUCUUUACCAGGGACGAAGGACGUGACGGUACCUGGAGAAAAAGCCACGGCUAACUACGUG
rnacentral:rRNA from 1 species